rnacentral:rRNA from 1 species
AUGGCGGCGCAGGCAUGCGCCCACGUGUUCCAUGCGUCUUGCAUCGAGCCAUGGCUCCACAGCCGGGGCUCCUGCCCCGUGUGCCAGUGCACUGACAACCCCACCUCCAUCCUCAUCCCUGACCCCGCCUCCACCUCCACCUCCAUCGGCGAAUGUCCGGUGUGCCUCGAGGCCUUGCGCCUUGAUUGUGGCGACGUCAGGGCAGCACACGCUUGCGGCCAUGUGUUCCACUCGCAUUGCAUCGAGCCGUGGCUCAACCAACAAGGCUCAUGCCCUGUGUGCCGGUGCACUGUCAGCUUCAACCCCAACUCCACCUACAAUCCCGCCUCCAUCUCCACCUCCAACCCGACCUACCUCCAACUCCGGCCCCGUCGGUGA